rnacentral:rRNA from 1 species
CACAAACAAAAAUCCCCACACACCAAACAAACCAUUUGACAAACCAAGUAGAUGUGAUCGAACAGUAAACACCACACCACAGUACCGUAAGGGAACCAUUUUAAGCAAAAAACAGCAAAGACUAGCCCUUGUACCUUUCGCAUCAUGAUUUAGCAAGAAACCGGGACAAGAAGAAUCAUAGCCCACCACCCCGAAACCAGAUGAGCUACUUUAAAGCAGCUAAUAGAGCCAACCCUUCUCUGUGGCAAAAGAGUGGGAAGACUUCAAAGUAGAGGUGAAACGCCUAUCGAAUCUGGAGAUAGCUGGCCACCCAAAAUAGAAUAUAAGUUCAACUUUAGACCAAACAAUAAAUCACUUAUCCUCUAAAGAAAAUCAAUAGGGGUACAGCUCUAUUGAAACAGGAAACAACCUGAAUUUGAAAGGGCAAACCAACAAACCAACCAGUAGGACUUAAAGCAACCACCUGACAAAAUAUCGUUAAAGAAUUCACAUAGUAAUAACUUAACUUAACUUAACCUCCAAAUAAACUAAGGGUAAACCCACAGCCGUGGGUAAUAUAAUGCUAAAACUAAUAAUAAGACAACCUCUCUACACACACUUAUCCACUAGAAACGGAAAAACCACUAGCCAUUAACAGACCACAAUAGGCACACACCUAUACCUCUUCUUAGCCACCACCACACUGUAAAUCCAACACAGGUGUGUAAAAAAGAAAGAUUAACUAUUAUAAAAGGAACUCGGCAACCAAAAACCCCAACUGUUUAACAAAAACAUAACCUUUAGCCAAACAAAUAUUAAAGGCAAUGCCUGCCCAGUGAACAAUUAAACGGCCGCGGUAUCCUAACCGUGCAAAGGUAGCAUAAUCAUUUGUCUAUUAACUGUAGACCUGUAUGAAAGGCAAAAUGAGGGUUUAACUGUCUCUUAUAAUAAAUCUAUUAAACUGAUCCCCCAGUAAAAAAGCUGGGAUACCCCCAUAAGACCAGAAGACCCUGUGAAGCUUUAACUAAACUAUUAAACCAAAUAAUAACUACUUUAGGUUGGGGCAACCUUGGAAACAAAAAGAACUUCCAACACAUACUAAAUAAACAGGCUAACAAGCCAAUUAACGACCCAGUAACACUGAUAAUUGAACCAAGUUACUCCAGGGAUAACAGCGCUAUCUUCUUCAAGAGCCCAUAUCAAAAAGAAGGUUUACGACCUCGAUGUUGGAUCAGGACACCCAAAUGGUGCAACCGCUAUUAAAGGUUCGUUUGUUCAACGAUUAAA